GUGAUCCGUGUGAUGGGAAACCUUCCCGCACAGUUCGGAGAGCACUCAAU
rnacentral:ncRNA from 1 species